rnacentral:rRNA from 1 species
AUGAAAACCUUAUGCUUGAACUGCCGCGGGUGUGGGCAGCCCGAGGCAGUUCAGGAGCUCCGCCUUCUGGUGGAGCAGCAUAGCCCAGAAUUUGCCUUCCUCUCGGAGACAAAGAUGUCUGAAGAAAGAGCAAAGAAUCUGAGAUUUAAAUUGGGGUUUGAUAAUGCGAUAAGUAGUGAAGGGUUAAGUGGAGGACUAGUUCUCAUGUGGAAAAAGGGUAUUAUAGUGAGGGAACAAACCAAAAAUAAUUCUCACAUAGAUGUCACUGUCUUCAGGAGAACUUGGGAGAAGAAUGGAGAUUUACAGGCUUUUAUGGCCAACCACGAAGUCAAAAAAGGAAAGAAUCAUGGUAUUUGCUUCAAUUUCUAA